rnacentral:rRNA from 1 species
UACAGAGGUGGCAAGCGUUGUUCGGAAUUACUGGGCGUAAAGGGCGCGUAGGCGGCCUUCUUAGUCGGACGUGAAAUCCCCAGGCUCAACUUGGGAACUGCGUCCGAUACUGGAUGGCUUGAGUGCGGGAGAGGGAUGUGGAAUUCCAGGUGUAGCGGUGAAAUGCGUAGAUAUCUGGAGGAACACCGGUGGCGAAGGCGGCAUCCUGGACCGACACUGACGCUGAGGCGCGAAAGCUAGGGGAGCAAACGGGAUUAGAUACCCCGGUAGUCCUAGCCCUAAACGAUGAGUGCUUGGUGUGGCGGGUAUCGAUCCCUGCCGUGCCGAAGCUAACGCAUUAAGCACUCCGCCUGGGGAGUACGGUCGCAAGGCUGAA